CCAUCCCAGUUCGGAUUGCAGGCUGCAACCCGCCUGUAUGAAGUUGGAAUCGCUAGUAAUCGCGGAUCAGCAUGCCGCGGUGAAUACGUUCCCGGGCCUUGUACACACCGCCCGUCACACCAUGAGAGUCGGGAACACCCGAAGUCCGUAGCCUAACCGCAAGGAGGGCGCGGCCGAAGGUGGGUUCGAUAAUUGGGGUGAAGUCGUAACAAGGUAAC
rnacentral:rRNA from 1 species